AUAUUAAUAAUUUAGAAAUUUAACAUAAAUUAAAUAAAAAUAAUAAUUAAAUUUUAAAUGCAAUUAUUCAAACAAUUAUAACUAUAAAUUUAACUUUAUGAUUUUCAAAUUUAGGCUAUAUGCUUUUGAAAAUAUUCAUAAAUAACAUGCAUUAUAUAUAGAGAUUUUUGCAAAAUUGACCUAGAAUUCAAAGUCAAACACAAAACUAACUUCCUUUUGUUUUGGAAAUUGGUUUUGCCCUAUUCACCCCACAAGUUCAUAUAAUUCACGAAAAUGCCAUCAAAUUUUUUUUUUCUUUCCAAAAAUGACAUUUUUAUUCUCUCACCCUCAUCAUUUUCAAGUAAUUACAAGAUUGACAUUGUCAUCAAUACCCCAACCACCAUGAACAACCAAUUUGAAGCUCUUAAUGCACCUAAAAUCGAUUUACACUCUCUUUCUCACUUGUAAUGAACUAAAAACAACAUCUAUUUCACUUUGCCUCCAUAUUCAUCC
rnacentral:lncRNA from 1 species